AAGAAUUUCCAGAUGGAUUUACCCCAAGAUGUUAAUGUUGUGCUGGUUUUAAUGCUGACUGAAGCAAGGUAGCAAGUGGUUAUUACAGACCUGACAUGCCUCUUCUGCCAAGAAACAGCAUGAGCUUUCAACUCAGAAAACAAGCAGACUUCACUUCAUCUGGUUUGGAUGGCAGCAUUAGCUGUGCUCAUGUGUUGAAUCCUGAGAAAACAGUUCUGAAGGGCCAAAAGAAGCAAAUAAAGCGUAUUUGUUAUUCUGACUGACCUUAGGCAUACAGUAUGCGAAGCUGGAAGAAGCGUACCCUGAAUCUCUGAUAAUAAGUAUGGUGAUAACUGGACUUGCAUGUUAAUGCAGAACACCUGAUGCAAUUAUAUGUGAAGAGGACAUUCAGAUGCACUUCCAUAAAUGCCCUUCUGCUUCUCAAUUACAUUAAAUAACUUCACAGAUCCUUUGAUAGAAACAAUUUUCUUCAGUUUUUCAAAAUAAUGAAUAGGCAUUAGACUAGACUUAGCUGUUACCCAAAAUGGCUUGAUCAAAGGUCUGAGAGUAAUACAAUAAACACAAGAAAAGCAGCUACCAGGUGGUUUCCAACACAAACUGAAGGGAAAGUGUCAAGUGAGCAGAUAGUGACAAUUCAGCCCUGAAACCAAAGGUUCAUGUGUGAAACUCCACCUUUGAGAAGGAAGAAUAAAUAUCCGCAGAAUGUUUCGGCUAUAAUUACUUCAUUUAAGGGGAAAAAAAAAAAGAAAAAGAAAAAGAGCUGAAUUCAGUUUGCUAAAGUCAGGACAUUAAUAUUUUUGGCAUGUAAAGAUGUAAACCAAAUGUUUAAAUGAAAUGUCAGCCCCCUGGGUUCACAUUCGCCCAUUGAACUACAGUACAAACCCUCCACAGACCUUCAUACAAUACACAUUUUUCAGUCCAUUGAAGAAGGCCCCUGCUGCUUCUCAAGGAAAACUAGCUUGCAGAAGCAAAAUAAACACUGGCAUUGCGGCGGCGCAGCGGAGCCUCGCCAGCGCAGAUGUGCAGCAUCGUCGGCUUUUAAAUCAGAUAAGGCCUGCUCAGACAUAAGCAGUGCAGUGUCUGGGACACGUUGCACGCGGCCGCGCUGCCCGAGCGCAUGCAGCGGGAGCUCCGGCUGGGCGGCAGCAGGCCGACAGCAUUUCGCAGCAGCGCUGUUAUGUCUAGAUGGGCAAAUGUUUGUGCGAGCCAGCCGCCGUAGAAGCGGGGAUGCAAAUAAUGUCUUAUCUGCUGGGUGCGAAUAUCGCCCGAAAACAGCCCCGGGCGCCUCGCCGUGCUGCUUGGGGCGCUCCCCAGCUGCGUCGAGGGGGACCGAUGCCGUGCCGUGCUGCAGGAGGCAUCGCGUCCGUCUGUCCGUCCACCUGCUGAUGUUUGCUGCCAGGCACUCCACCGCCGUCCUGUAAAGCCGUGUGCGCCCACGGCUAGCCAUUGGCCUAGCUGCGGUCCGGCACGCAAAGGGUUAAAAUGUCUGGAUUUGGACGAGCUGCCUCCAAAAACGUGAAGCGAGUGUGUUGAACCCUGCAGAAACGUGGCUCGCCGAUUCUGUGGUCGUCCUAUUAAGACAUACAAAGUAUCUCAGGAAGGGAAAAUUUAACUUACAUACAACACAUGAUUUUAAGUAAAGAAAUAUUGUAGGGGCGGGGGGGGGAAGUAUUUUUUUAGCUCUAAUUUAUGGCUGAGCAGCUUCAUUUUAGUUACUUCAUGGGAAUAUUUUAAACCAAGCCUGCAUAAUAUUAAAAUAAGUUAAAAUGUAUGUAAAAUUUAUGAGAGCAUGUCAGGUGCAAUGCUUGAUAAAGUAAGUUUAAUGCUUCAGAAUUUUUUCUUCAGGCAGAGAAAGCUGAAUCCUGCAAUUCUAGGUUACAGUAUAAUUUUAGAAACUCUUUUCCAUUAUACCAUUCUUUUAUUAAUGAGAUCCAACCCAAUUUAACGAAAAGAGGUAAAUUCCUGAAGAGUUUGUGGAAAGUACUCAGCAGGUUGGAAACCAGGACCGUGUGAUAAAAGAGGGUACUUUCCUAGUGUUCCUAUUAUAUAUCCAAUUUUAUAAAAACACAGAGGAAAUCAAUUUACAACAAACUUUGUAAGUGUGCCUCUUCACUGUGGUUUUCCUGCUGGAAAUGCUGCUGCACUCCGUGAACAAAUAAAAGCUUUGGCAGCUGA